UACGCCCGGUUACUUUCCGAACCCGGAAGCUAAGCCUUGCUGCGCCGAUGGUACUGCAUGGGGGACCGUGUGGGAGAGUAGGUCGCCGCCGAAC
rnacentral:rRNA from 1 species